rnacentral:rRNA from 1 species
AUGUAAUGUAAUUCCUACAAUGUUAAUGCACCAGAUCCCAUUACAACUCUGUAGUUAAAUGUGGUUGGUCUAGAGUAGUAAUUGGAUGGGUGACCUGUUAGGAAGUCCUACUGUUUUACAUG